rnacentral:lncRNA from 1 species
UUCCUUUCGAUUCCGGUUCUUAUCGAUUCUCAAUUCCGAUUCUUUGAGGGGUGGAGUUGAAACGGGUCACAUGCCUACAGCGCCGCUUACUGAGCUCCAAGGCUGCAACACAACAAGAGCCUGGCCGCUUCGGAAACCAAAACUUGUGCAUAUUAAAUUGGGAAGCGAUAAUCGGAUUUGCAACCAAAUCCUCUAAACAAUUUGGUUUCAAAUCCGAUCAUCGCUUCGCAAUUUAAUAUGCACAAGUUUCCGAUUCCAAUAAAGAAACGAUUCCGAUGGAACGAUUCCAAGUAGGACUCGUUUCUCGAUGCCCAACCCCACUGACCCUGUCCCGUGUCCAGGAGCUGGUGUGGAUCCUCCACAAGGCCUUGGAGGCGUCUCAGCUGGAGAAGCGAACGUGUGCAGAGUUUCUGGCGGCGGACGGCGAGCAGGAGCGCCUGGAGCUGCUGCGACACUGCGAGCGGCAGGCGGCCGACCUGCGUGGUCGGCUGGAGGCUGCGAGGACGGAGGCGGACGCCGCCAGGAAGAGUCUGGCUCAGAGAGACGCUCAGCUGGCCGAGCUGCAAGACAACAUCCGCAGUCUGACGGAGAAAAACAACGCCAAGCAGCAGGUGAUCAUAAAGCUGGCGGAUCAGGUGACCUCCUGUAUGUCCUCCGGCGGCGGUCUGGACUCUCAGACCUUCAGACAGCUUCAGCAGGAGAUCGAGAACCUGAAGGGUGUCGCAUAGUUAUGGCUUCGACUAAGAACUGCAGUUCUUGCUCUUCUGCUCGACCUCCACGAGGAUUGUUUUUCAUGCCUCAGGCAGCGGCAUCAGCUGCAGGCAGAAC